rnacentral:lncRNA from 1 species
GGGGUCGAUAGGCGGGAUCGUGUCGGCCUGCUUCGUGUACUCGACGGCGAGGUGCUUGAUCUGGUCGCGAGUUCCAGCACGGGAAAUUUCACGGAACUCGCGGGAACAAUGAGACUGCGCCGGGGGAUGCGCGGCGAGUACGCGCGUGCAGAAGUCCGCGCGCGGAUCAAGUCAAUGGCAACUCCAGAUUUUUGGCAAACAUGUUUAGCAAACUGUUGGAGAGAGUUUUUUCAUUGAUUUGCCAAAAUUUGUAGGAUAGCAAGUGUUUUAGCAAACUAUUGGAGAUGCUCUUUCUCAUUUAUAAACAUAUUAAUAAAAAG